UGAUAGUUCCACGCGGUCAGAAGGGUCAUCCUGGCUUAGGAGAGGGGCAGAAGAGGAAAUGCACGCGUGGAAACAGGAGUGGGCAGGGAGGAUGUGACACUGUCCUCCUCACCAGGCCACGUUCCUGGCACCAACCAUAGUGUUUGGGCAGAUAAGAAAAGAAACAAUUUGCUGAAACUCCCUCUGCUUAUAACAAAACUGACUGAAAUCAGCCGGAAUCAAUAUGGCCAAAUGCAGUUUGCGCACAGCAAGCUUGCUGAUGUCACAGCCUGAAUUUCUACUGCAUGUUUCAUACCAACUCCCUCCAAAUUUGCACAUGGGACCCACCAGGAAGCAUGAAGAGAGAGCCAUGCAUGCCUGAAGACUUCCCAGAUGUUCCCUUUGCUUCCACCAAUCACCUGCUAACCCCAGGAUCCAACCCUAAACCUUUUGUAAUAAAAUUACUGCCCUAAAGCCAGUACAAGACAGAUUUGAACUGGACUUUUGUUUCCUCAGAAGUUAACUUGCAAUGUGAAGCUUUCCUUUUCUCAAAAACUUGGUGUCAUAGUGUUGGCUUCUAGUGCAGUGAGCCCCUUUUGCUGGAUAACCUUACCUGGUAAUUUGACAUACUAGGUGGUUAGUAACUACUGACUGUCUCCAGGUUACAACACAGUUAUUACCCACUUGGGUGAAAAGAGAAGACAGGAAAUACAUUUUGGAGUUGGCUGGCAACCUGUUUACAAAGCAAUUUACAACAGUUCCUUAUUCUUAAGGGGCUAUUCUAAUACAAGACCUCAGAGAAACAGUGCAGUGUGACAAAGGAGGAAUUUAUCAAAGGAGACAGAAAAAGCAUCAAGGCAAGCUGUGAAAUGGUGCGGUAGGAACC
rnacentral:lncRNA from 1 species